rfam:Coccidioides immitis RMSCC 3703 supercont1.287 mitochondrial scaffold, whole genome shotgun sequence.
AAGGCUAUAGCUUAAUGGUAAAGCCAGCUGCUCAUGAUAGCUUAGAUAAAUGUUCGACUCAUUUUAGCCUUA